rnacentral:lncRNA from 1 species
CUUCUCCUGAAUCACAGAGAAACACAAGUCUGACUAAGCUGCCUCCUGCUGUGGAUCCCAGAUGAGCCCCCACAGGGCUGUGAGCUCUGGCUUCCAACCUGUCCUUCCUCUGGCUCCCCCAUCAGCCACUCAGCCAUGGGCCUGCGUUUCAAAGCAGCAGCAGGAGAUGAAGAGCAAACUGGAAGUAGGAGUUUAGUAAACAGCUAAAAAACAAUAAGAAGUUUUGUGGCUUUGAAAGGGGCAGAAAGAAGCAGAGAGUCUGCUCCCGAUGCAGAGGAUGCCGGGAGCCCUGCAGGGAUUGAACUUGGGACCUUGCACUUGGGAGGCAGGUGCCAGAACCACUGAGCUAAAUCCCCGGCCUGAGUUUGCUCCCAUUUUAAAGAUGAGGAGACUGAGGAUCUGUAGGAGGCUGCUGUGAGAUGUUUAAAAGCCUGGGUGUCUGAGGGCACUUGAGCACAUCUGAGGACACAACUCUGUUGUUUAGCUCAGGCACACAAUGGACUUUGUUAUAAUAAUAAUGAAUCAGUGUGGACUACCACACACAUACCACAGGACUCUACAAGGCCAGACAGCUGUUUUGUCUUGCUGUGUCUCAGAAGAACUGACAACAGUCACUCUAAGUGGUAUGCUGUAAAAUUAAAGUUUGAUUCCUGG